GUGGGGGUGCCGGUUUAGACGCCGACGACCCGUCCAUGAGGCAGGUUGUACUGGGUUACAAUGUUACCAGUAGCAGACUACAUGUCUGACCUGACCCGAAAAAAACAAAUGGAGUUUGUAAGAAAUAAUUCUUGUAUGACUCCGAAUCAAAAUUCUUAGUUACUGAGUCGUAUUGAUAGUACAAGGAAAUACGAAACUUUUUGUGAAGUUAGUUUUGGCCGAAGUAAUAAUAAAAYUCACACCCAGAAUAAAACGUAAAGAAAUAUAAAAAACUAUCCCGUAAGAUUUACCAAUAAAAUUGCCUGUAUUUCACUUAGUUACCAGAUAUGUUUUGGACAACUUUUGUCAACUGAAGUUCGUAUUCUAAGAACAAAAGCUCUUUUUGUUGUAAAAGUGUGUACAAARUUCAAUUAUGAAUUAUGACGUACAGAAAUAUUGAAAUAUAUGAAAAUUGUUAAGAUAUAGCGUUGUUACAGUUCCCCCUCGUUAGAUUCGAGCUCCUGCUAGAAAGAACUAAUCUUGAAAGGUAAAUUUUUUGUAAACACGAAAAAUAGCAAACGUUUCACUCGUAAUUUAACCUAUUAUAAGGAAAUGAUAAUGCGGUAAGUUAACUAAGAAAAAUUGAAAUUCAGCUAAAUACUCCAGGAUGUCGUUGCUUCAAUUGCUUUAUGUUUUGCUAUCAUGAACACUAUUGCUUUCAUCAUAUUCUUCGGUUAUCACCACGGACGUCAUCCCGACCAGCGUUUGCUUCACUUUGUUAACAGACCAUGUGAAACGUUUUGGGUAAGGCCGYGAGCCUCAUUGGCAAGAAGGAAAGACUGUCCAAGAACUUGAUAUUUCUCUCAACAAUCGCCAUAGAUAGAAUUUUAGCGCCAUUCAUGACCACCCGUCAAAAGCCCUAAAGUUAUGAGCCAGCACCAUCACAUCUGAAAGUUCUCCUUCAAACAGAAAACGACAAAAUUCGUCGCAGCAAUUGGAGCCUUUGAAAACAGUUUCAUUUUCCUCUUCGUCUUGAAGGACAACCAAAUUAUUAACGUGAAUUUUUGGUUGGUUUCAAAAUCAAAAAACAAUCAUUUUGAAACUUGGUCAUCGUCACACUCAACCGAUUGUACAAAGCAGAGGUGAUCCAUGUCGACAAACUCUUUGCAAACUUCACAUUUUUUCAGACCACAAUGGUGGGCAUCGGGAUGAAGGUUUUUUCUAUUGAAGAUUUUAUGGCAAUGAGUGCAUUUCCGACGACUCCAACACAGCGAGACGCCAGCCCUGUUCACUUACUUGUGAUUGUCAAAGCAUUGCUGACUUUUGAAAUAUUGAUUACAAAGUGAGCAAAACACCCAUUCCUCAAUGACGCAUGGCCCUUUAAAACAAACCGAACAUUUAAAAGCAGAAUUAUGCUUCUCCUUGUGAUCAAAUGCCUUCUGGCAAUUAGGGCAAAAAUACUUUCUAUUCCAGAAGGCGCUCACUGAGGUCACGACGUCAAAGUGAGUUCAAAUUUGUUUCUAGCGCGCAAAAAAAGAUAUAAACGUUUGCAACGGAACAAAUUUUAACGGGCACACCUUUGGGGCGCGCAAAACGGUUGAAAUAUGAACAAUGAUAUUGGUGCCUCAUGAUCCAGUGGGACAACCUCUUGGAUCAAACUCUAAACUUUCUGUCUUUACUACAUUCAACAGAAAAACCAUAGUAUACAACUUCGAAGAACUAAGGACGUUGAUUUGUGGUGAGACACAAUCCCACMUGGUAGAACUAAUGGUGCAAAGACAUUUUGCAAAAACUUUCCUUAACCAACUUAAAGUGAUUAACUAUGACGAGAAUAUAACCAAACGGCUGCAAGAGCUGAUAUGGAUAGCCGAGGCCGAACAAUCCCACGCCGACAACUUGGGCAACGACUUUGACUUUGAUGCAUUUGUGGAGUAAUAUGUCAAAUGUAAAUAUGAAAACAUAAUGAUAUUGUAAUAUAAAUAAUAAAGAAUUUCAGAGAAUCUUGACUGUGUCCGUUGUCAAUCUAAAAGAAAGAAACAAAAAAAAAAACAAUCAUUCUACCAACUUUUGAGCGCCAAAACGCUAAUGGCCUUCUCGAAAAGGAAAGAACAAAAACAAAAAAAACGAUAUCCCUUUGAGACAACUUACCUUUAGCACAAACAGGGCACUGUCGGGUGCUCUGCCAGUGCACCCAGCAUUCCGGGCACAACAGAUGGUCGCAUGGAAAAAUGCAAUGUUCGUAUGUCCUUUCGUCUUUGAAAGGCCAAGUACAGCUUUCACACACCUCGUGCGAGACUAGUAGGUCCGGGCGAAAAAGCAUUCCGGGCACAACAGAUGGUCGCAUGGAAAAAUGCAAUGUUCGUAUGUCCUUUCGUCUUUGAAAGGCCAAUUACAGCUUUCACACACCUCGUGCGAGACUAGUAGGUCCGGGCGAAAAACGUGCCUCUCGCACCGACGCACCGGGCAUCGACGUGAUUCCACGAACAUCUUGUGGCAGUCGUGGCACACCAUAUGCUUGCAAGUAAUCAAACCCAUUGGAAGUUCGUUCCUUCCAAGUUGACGCCAACACGCUUGACAGAAGGUCUCACGUCCUACAACUAAUCAAACCCCAGGCUUCAGAGAAAGGAGGAAAGAAAAAGCAAAUAAAUAAAAAAUGAAGUUCCCACCUCCUUGCUUGUGUCUGCACACUUUCCUGUCUGCCAUAUCAAACGAAGAAGCAAAGAUGAAAAAACAGGUCUUGACUUUACAGCAAAUAUGAAUGCAUGCACAAAAACAAAACAGGUGCUCAAAAUCUUCAACGAAAAAGGUGCGAAAACUUUUGACACUUUUUGACGCUUUUUUGAUAGGUCUCGAUCUGAUUUGUUUUCCAUUCGGAGUUCCAUUUUCAAGAUUAGUCGUUACGUUUGAAAUGUUUGAAUGCUUGUGAUCAUCAAGUGACGUUUUUCAAAACAAAAAGGCUCAACGGAAAAUACAUUCCAAGUGUCAAGAAAUUCCACAUGAAGCUGCAACGGAUAAACCAACGGUUUUCCUGAAUCACGGCCGUUCAAGCCAUCUGGUUUGAUUCAAACCAAUCAAAAACACCAAUCGUAGCAUUUUGCGAAAUAAACGUAAAACCAAAGUGUGAUCAAACAAUUCAACGGUUCAAACACUGACCCAAAAUUACAUACCUGAACGUUGAAUUCAAAGCAAGAACAACAAAAUUUUCAA